UAGUGGCGAACGGGUUAGUAACACGUGGGUAACAGACCAUCAACACAGGCAUAAUCCGUCGAAAGACGGACUAAUUCCUGAUGGUCCUCAAUUUCUUCGGGAGUUGAGGUAAAGAUUUGGAGCAAUCCAUUUUGGUUGAUGAAUGGCCCGCGGCCUAUCAGCUAGUUGGUGAGGUAAUGGCCCACCAAGGCAAUGACGGGUAGGCGGUGUGAGAGCAUGACCGCCAACAAUGGGACUGAGAUACGGCCCAUACUCCUACGGGAGGCAGCAGUCGAGAAUAUUGGUCAAUGGGGGAAACCCUGAACCAGCGACGCCGCGUGCUUGAAGAAGCCCUUCGGGGUGUAAAGAGCUUUUCUGGAGGAUGAAUCUUCGGAUGACAGUACUCCAGGAAUAAGGGGGUGCUAAUCACGUGCCAGCAGCCGCGGUAAUACGUGACCCCCAAGCGUUAUCCGGAUUUAUUGGGCGUAAAGAGUCUGUAGGCGGUCUGGAAAGUCUUUGGUUAAAGGCCCAGGGCUUAACCUUGGGAAUGCCAGAGAUACUGCCAGACUGGAGGGCGUUAGAGGCUGGAGGAACGGUCGGUGUAGGGGUGAAAUCCGUUGAUACCGACCGGAACCCUAAAAGCGAAGGCAUCCAGCUGGGGCGACCCUGACGCUGAGAGACGAAAGCGUGGGGAGCAAAAAGGAUUAGAUACCCCUUGUAGUCCACGCUGUAAACGAUGGACACUGGCUAUCUGAAGUGUCGACCCUUCAAGUGGCGAAGCUAACGCGUUAAGUGUCCCGCCUGGGAAGUACGGCGGCAACGCU
rnacentral:rRNA from 1 species